CACCGUCACCUACGGCAACCUUUGCCGAGUGCUAAGCUUUGCCGAGCGUCCGACACUCGGUACAGAAACGCUUUGCCAAGUGUCAGCCUUUGCCGAGUGUGUGGCACUCGGCAAAGGACACUUUGCCGAAUGUUUUUCUUUGCCGAGUGCAACACUCAGCAAAGAAUGCCUUUGUCGAGUGCAACACUCAACAAAAAAUGGCUUUGUUGAGUGUCCGACGUUUGGCACUCGGCAAAGCCUCUAACACUAGGCAAAGACUCAAUUUCCAGUAGUGUAAGGAAGGCCUCAAGAAAAUUGAAUGUGAGAAUGUGAGAUGCAUAUUUGAUAUAUGAGAAGCCACGACCAAUGUGAUAUUUUUUAGCACAAAUGGUGUGAUUAAUUAUGAAUGAAAUAGAGUGUAUAUUAAUGUGUGCCAUGAAAGGCCGACCCAGAUCGAUAUGAGAUAUAUACUUCAGCAGCUACUGAUAUGUGUUACUAGGAGUGUACAAUCACAUUACUCUGUUAAGUAAAAAAUUUAACUACAAUAGAAUUCAAAAUAUCUUUCAAAGACCAUGUACGUACCAUGGAGUGACCCAUCAUUGAAUUUUUUAAACAAAAGACCAUGAGUCCCCCUUUAAAGAUAGGAAAGUUUAAGAUUUGCUACAGUACAUUAGGCACCUUAUAUGAGAAAAACACAGUCCUCAAGGCAUGUCCCUCUAAACUGAUCGAAAAGAUAACGAUAAACCAACAGAACAGCCACCUAAAAGUGCGUCAGUACAUUGUAGCAAACUUUGAAAAACUAUAGAGCUUACACUGGUCGUUUUGGUUGCGCCAAGUGUCAUGAUAACAUCUCAGUUGUCAUCAUUGGACAACUUUUCUCUUUUCCUUGAGUAGGAUGCAGCAUUUUUGCAAAAAGUUGAUCGAUAAGUGUACAACAAAAGUUACAUGAGUAAUAAUGUUGUUAUUAACACAUUCAUUACAGGUUAACCUAAGACUCAACUUAUACAGAUCACCUUGGAUUUGAAGACAGUUCCUUUAUUGUUACUAAGCUUAGAGAACUGGGUUAAUAAAUUUGUUGGAACCAUUCUCCGGAAAAAAAACACAUCAUGAUAAGUCCACCUGAUGUAGGUAGUUUCCAAAAUAAUACUAAAAAAAGAUAUGUUGUGUUGCUUCAAUUUGGCAAUGGAGUUUACAAUGAAUGACUCCUGGCCAAUUCGGAUUGGUUAUAGCUAUUCUGCAGAUGGCAGACAAUCUGUAUAAAUUGACCACAUGAAAAAAUUGAUAUUCAUUGGUACUGUUGCUCUCUAGUAGACAUAAUCUCCUUAUUUUCACUCCAGGGAAGGGUAGGUCUCUAUACUAGCUGUGAUCAAGUUACCAUUCCUAUCUAACGCCCAUCUCAUUGUAGCAGGUGUGAGUUCGUUGCCAGUUUAUUCUUUCCAUUUAGAUCUUCUAGAGGUAAGGUUUACUUCAUUGUUUCUUAAAAUUUUAUGUACUACCAACUCCUCUUGCUUUGCACAUAGCAAAAAUAUUGCUAUACACUAUUUUGAGAGGGAAAUGGCCUAGCCAUUGAUCGCUCCAGAAUCUAGCUCUAAUACAUGAACCUUAAUGUCAUGCAUGUCGGUUGUCAAAAUUAUUAGAUUCGUCAAUCAAUGAAGAUACAUAAAUCAUACAUGGACAGGAAAUUAACUAGAUAGUACACGGGACAUAGAUUUAUACUGGUUUAGGUGUAGGGUACCCUAUAUCCGCUGGAGAACAGUGCUCUCCUAUCUUGUGUGCUCAGUGUUUACAGUGUACCGUUGCAGUGUUUAUUACAUAGCGGAACAUAAUAUAUAUCACAUAGUCUCAUACAAAAAAUGAUAAUAAGAUUAAACAACGCUCUCGGCGGAAGCUCCACACACGGACACUGUUGACUGGUUGACUCCAAACCUAGUACUCGUAACGGUAGUCCUCAAUCCAAUCAUCAUCCUUAGCAUAACCUGGG
rnacentral:lncRNA from 1 species